UGGCGAUGAUUAAAAUGUAUUUAUUUACGCUUCUGAGAACAAUCGAUGAAGCCAUAACUAAUAAAUUGUUGAAUUUCUUAAUAUGAGCCU